UAAGAAUGUCUUCAUUUUGUGGAUGAAGAAACUGAGGCCCAAGAAGUUAAGCAGCUGGAAUGAAAGUCACAUGGACUAGCAGCCGGGAUAUUUACUGACCACCACCAUCCUCUGUCUCCCACUAGUUGGGAGGUGUCACUGGGAACACGACAUUUCUCAUACUUCCCAGCAGCAUGUAUGAGGAUGCCAGGGAGUGUCUGUCUGCACUAGGUCUUUGGGACUCGGAUCCAGCUCCUGAAACUUUUGAGCCUGGGUUAGAGAAGACUCCGAGUUUCUUUCUGAAGAAGUUACAACAGAAGCACGGCUAGUGCAGGUGGAAUGAGUAUCUGGAACAAUUGAUAAGCCAUCUUCCUGCAAUUCCCAAGUGCGUCUGGGACCCCCUUAGAGGGGGUCCCCCCUCUAAGUAUCAGGGACCCCCUGAGAUUGAAAUACAAUUAGCCUGAGGUGCUGGGAUUCUGGGUACCCUACCCCCAAAGGUUUAGCUUUCAACUAGUUUAC